GGGCCCGCACAAGCGGUGGAGUAUGUGGUUUAAUUCGAUGCAACGCGAAGAACCUUACCAGGGUUUGACAUCCUGCGAAUCUCUUGGAAACAGGAGAGUGCCUUCGGGAACGCAGUGACAGGUGGUGCAUGGCUGUCGUCAGCUCGUGUCGUGAGAUGUUGGGUUAAGUCCCGCAACGAGCGCAACCCACGUCUUUAGUUGCCAGCAUUUAGUUGGGCACUCUAGAGAGACUGCCGGUGAUAAACCGGAGGAAGGUGUGGAUGACGUCAAGUCAUCAUGCCCCUUACAUCCUGGGCUACACACGUACUACAAUGCUACGGACAAUGAGCAGCCACAUGGUGACAUGGAGCUAAUCUUCAAACCGUAUCUCAGUUCGGAUCGAAGUCUGCAACUCGACUUCGUGAAGCUGGAAUCGCUAGUAAUCG
rnacentral:rRNA from 1 species